rnacentral:rRNA from 1 species
ACGCACGCUGGCGGCGUGCUUAACACAUGCAAGUCGCACGGAAAGGCCCUGCUUUUGUGGGGUGCUCGAGUGGCGAACGGGUGAGUAACACGUGAGUAACCUGCCCUUGACUUUGGGAUAACUUCAGGAAACUGGGGCUAAUACCGGAUAGGAGCUCCUGCUGCAUGGUGGGGGUUGGAAAGUUUCGGCGGUUGGGGAUGGACUCGCGGCUUAUCAGCUUGUUGGUGGGGUAGUGGCUUACCAAGGCUUUGACGGGUAGCCGGCCUGAGAGGGUGACCGGCCACAUUGGGACUGAGAUACGGCCCAGACUCCUACGGGAGGCAGCAGUGGGGAAUAUUGCACAAUGGGCGGAGGCCUGAUGCAGCAACGCCGCGUGCGGGAUGACGGCCUUCGGGUUGUAAACCGCUUUCGCCUGUGACGAAGCGUGAGUGACGGUAAUGGGUAAAGAAGCACCGGCUAACUACGUG